GAGAUGAGUGAGGAUAAACCAGCCCACAGUGACAGGAAGUAGGACCCAGGAGCCCCCUGCUGGGCCAACAGCAGUUGGUCAGGGCUGUCAGUUGCUGACAGUCAGGAGAGUCAGUUGCUGACAAUAGGGCUGGGAGUUGCAGGGAAGUUGGCUGCUUGGAGAUGAAAUAUGUGAAAACAAAAUCUUCAGCAGAGAAAAUAUACAUCCUAACAAUCAAUGGCAGCAAAGACAAAUAUCUUGGAGCACAUGGACCAUUCUCAUUGGAUUCAAACUUUCAUCAGUGAGAUGGAUAUUUAUACCUAUAGAUAUCAUGAUUGCAACUCCUGCCUUCUUUCUAUCAGUUGAGGCCCAGAAGGUCUUACUCCAUCCUUUAAUUCUAACCUUGUGAAUAAACAUCAGUCUUGAGGCUGACAUGCUGAGGCUUAGAAGUGACAAUGAAUUUGAAAGCUAUAGACAUUUUGGAAUCAUUUAUUGAAGACGACUGAUUGCAAGAAUUAUUUCUUUAUGAGAGAAGAUAACCAUCAAUAAGAGAAGAAACUAAAUCCCAGAUCUCAAUUUGCCAAAAGAUAUUUACUUUAAAUAAGACAAUGCAGAACCAAGAUUAAAUGUUACAUACUUAAUCAAAACUCUUAAAACUACUUUAUGUUUUGAUGAGGCUUAAAUAUAUCUCUCAAUUUAGUGUUGCAAUUAUUAUGUUAAUAACCCCCCCAAAAGACACUUGCUGAAUUAUAUCAAUGUAAACUGAAUAUUUUAUGGUUGGAAUUUAUUUUAUAUUAGUAAAUAAAAUUUUUAUCUUCAACUUGAUUUAUAUUAUGUACUGAGUACAUAUUUACCUUCCUACUUUAG